rnacentral:rRNA from 1 species
UACGUAGGGUGCAAGCGUUAAUCGGAAUUACUGGGCGUAAAGCGUGCGCAGGCGGUUGUGUAAGACAGAUGUGAAAUCCCCGGGCUCAACCUGGGAACUGCAUUUGUGACUGCACAGCUGGAGUGCGGCAGAGGGGGAUGGAAUUCCGCGUGUAGCAGUGAAAUUCGUAGAUAUUGGGAAGAACACCGGUGGCGAAGGCGGCUCACUGGCUCGUAACUGACGCUCAUGCACGACAGCGUGGGGAUCAAACAGG